UGCAAUCAGCGAAUGGGCCUUAGGCCCAAGAAACUUUCUACAAACAAAAAGAAUAGUCCAAGGUAAUGCAGCAAAAGGGGGUAUGUUCCUGGAACAGUCGAAUGGAUGCACAGUUGGUCUUGGGCCUAGAAUAAGGCCCAAGGAAACUCAACUACCAUAAGCCAAACGGAAAGGGAAAAUUCAAAGCUGAAGUGGGAAAUUAAUUUCGGCCUAGGGUCCAAUGAUUGCACAUUCAACAAGGCUUGACUUCACGUGGCCCAAGGGUAUCAUCAUAAUGAGACGCGUGGGAGAGAAAAACCAAUAAAAUCCAAAUGAAACUGUGACUCCUCACCUUCUUCCAUUCAACUCACUCUCUCUCGUCACCGUCUCCACCGUAUCAGGGGCUCCCUCGGCGGCGGAGACACCAUGAAAACUCCCAUUGGAACAGCCUUUCUACUCUUAUCCGUCCGCUAAAUCUAAAUAUGUCCAUUAAAAACUCUAAACGUAGAUCGAUUUUAUCCAAUCGAACGUACUCAGUCAAGAACCCUAAUGUAUCAAGGCCUAAUUAAAUGGUGUCAAGGCAUGGAUUCAUGCGCAAAACAUGGGGUUAAUGCUGCUAAAGAUGCCUAAUACACAGUGGUGAUCGACUUUGAGGCAAACAAAGAAGGAAAUAUUUACCUCCUAAACAAAGAACUGUUCCGACGAGUAUUGAUCGUAGGAGACGAGGUGCGAAUGAACCACGCUUGAACAACCAGGAAAAUGUACUAAUGUUUAUAGAACCAAGGCCCUCUGGUUUGGUUCAUGCUACCAUGAGCCAUAUGACUAGGAUUGAUGUAUCUUAAGUUAAGCCUCAGUUCAAUUAAAUGCACCCAUGUAAUGUGUGAUGUAUUGUUGGUCUGAAGGUUACAUGAUGCAGGGUUGUAAUGGUCAUGUUUGGAAUUGGCUUAACUUGGUAAGAACAUCAAGGUGGCAAAGGAAAAGCAAAGUGAAACCAAGGCAUAACCAACUUGAAAAGGGAUUUCUUGCUCAUGACAAUGAUGGAAACUCAUAGAACUAUGAAGAUGUAAUGGGAAUUCGGUUUUUAGGGGGUAAAUGUAAUGGUUGACUUUGGUCAAGUGGUUGACCAAAAAGUCAACAGUUGACCAAAAGUCAACUUUCCAAAAAAAAAUCUUUUUAUAAUGAACAUUGUAUUCUAAUGAAUGAAUUAAUGAUCCAUUAUUUGAGUGAAA